rnacentral:rRNA from 1 species
CCUACGGGAGGCACCAGUGGGGAAUAUUGCACAAUGGGCGCAAGCCUGAUGCAGCCGUGCCGCGUGUGUGAAGAAGGCCUUCGGGUUGUAAAGCACUUUCAGCGGGGAGGAAGGCGGUGAGGUUAAUAACCUCACCGAUUGACGUUACCCGCAGAAGAAGCACCGGCUAACUCCGUGCCAGCAGCCGUGGUAAUACGGAGGGUGCAAGCGUUAAUCGGAAUUACUGGGCGUAAAGCGCACGCAGGCGGUCUGUCAAGUCGGAUGUGAAAUCCCCGGGCUCAACCUGGGAGCUGCAUUCGAAACUGGCAGGCUAGAGUCUUGUAGGGGGGGGUAGAAUUCCAGGUGUAGCGGUGAAAUGCGUAGAGAUCUGGAGGAAUACCGGUGGCGAAGGCGGCCCCCUGGACAAAGACUGACGCUCAGGUGCGAAAGCGUGGGGAGCAAACAGGAUUAGAUACCCGGGUAGUC